UACCAUGCAGUCGAACGGUGAAGCAGGAGCUUGCUCUUGUGGAUCAGUGGCGAACGGGUGAGUAACACGUGAGCAACCUGCCCCUGACUCUGGGAUAAGCGCUGGAAACGGCGUCUAAUACUGGAUAUGUGACGUGACCGCAUGGUCUGCGUCUGGAAAGAAUUUCGGUUGGGGAUGGGCUCGCGGCCUAUCAGCUUGUUGGUGAGGUAAUGGCUCACCAAGGCGUCGACGGGUAGCCGGCCUGAGAGGGUGACCGGCCACACUGGGACUGAGACACGGCCCAGACUCCUACGGGAGGCAGCAGUGGGGAAUAUUGCACAAUGGGCGAAAGCCUGAUGCAGCAACGCCGCGUGAGGGAUGACGGCCUUCGGGUUGUAAACCUCUUUUAGCAGGGAAGAAGCGAAAGUGACGGUACCUGCAGAAAAAGCGCCGGCUAACUACGUGCCAGCAGCCGCGGUAAUACGUAGGGCGCAAGCGUUAUCCGGAAUUAUUGGGCGUAAAGAGCUCGUAGGCGGUUUGUCGCGUCUGCUGUGAAAUCCCGAGGCUCAACCUCGGGCCUGCAGUGGGUACGGGCAGACUAGAGUGCGGUAGGGGAGAUUGGAAUUCCUGGUGUAGCGGUGGAAUGCGCAGAUAUCAGGAGGAACACCGAUGGCGAAGGCAGAUCUCUGGGCCGUAACUGACGCUGAGGAGCGAAAGGGUGGGGAGCAAACAGGCUUAGAUACCCUGGUAGUCCACCCCGUAAACGUUGGGAACUAGUUGUGGGGUCCAUUCCACGGAUUCCGUGACGCAGCUAACGCAUUAAGUUCCCCGCCUGGGGAGUACGGCCGCAAGGCUAAAACUCAAAGGAAUUGACGGGGACCCGCACAAGCGGCGGAGCAUGCGGAUUAAUUCGAUGCAACGCGAAGAACCUUACCAAGGCUUGACAUAUACGAGAACGGGCCAGAAAUGGUCAACUCUUUGGACACUCGUAAACAGGUGGUGCAUGGUUGUCGUCAGCUCGUGUCA
rnacentral:rRNA from 1 species